UGUUAAAGUAACUGUCUGAUUGGCAGUGCC
rnacentral:piRNA from 1 species